GAUGAACGCUGGCGGCGUGCCUAAUACAUGCAAGUCGAACGAAACUUCUUUAUCACCGAGUGCUUGCACUCACCGAUAAAGAGUUGAGUGGCGAACGGGUGAGUAACACGUGGGCAACCUGCCCAAAAGAGGGGGAUAACACUUGGAAACAGGUGCUAAUACCGCAUAACCAUAGUUACCGCAUGGUAACUAUGUAAAAGGUGGCUAUACUACCGCUUUUGGAUGGGCCCGCGGCGCAUUAGCUAGUUGGUAGGGUAAAGGCUUACCAAGGCAAUGAUGCGUAGCCGAAUUGAGAGGUUGAUCGGCCACAUUGGGACUGAGACACGGCCCAAACUCCUACGGGAGGCAGCAGCAGGGAAUCUUCCACAAUGGGCGAAAGCCUGAUGGAGCAACGCCGCGUGGGUGAAGAAGGUCUUCGGAUCGUAAAACCCUGUUGUUAGAGAAGAAAGUGCGUGAGAGUAACUGUUCACGUUUCGACGGUAUCUAACCAGAAAGCCACGGCUAACUACGUG
rnacentral:rRNA from 1 species